AUACGAACGGUCCAAGCGUUACGCGGAUUCACUGGGCUUAAAGGGUGCGUAGGCGGACCCGUCAGUGUCUUGUGAAAGCCCACGGCUCAACCGUGGAACUGCAUGGCAUACUGCGGGCCUUGAGGCCGGUAGAGGUCGUUGGAACUGUAGGUGUAGCGGUGAAAUGCGUAGAUAUCUACAGGAACGCCGAUGGUGAAGACAAACGACUGGGCCGGUUCUGACGCUGAGGCACGAAAGCGUGGGGAGCAAACAGGAUUAGAAACCCCGGUAGUCC
rnacentral:rRNA from 1 species